GGGGCUAUAGCUCAGUGGUACAGCGUUUACCUUGCAUGUGGGAGGCCCUGGGUUCAAUCCCCAGCACCA
rnacentral:tRNA from 1 species